AACGAACGCUGGCGGCAGGCCUAACACAUGCAAGUCGAGCGAGAUCUUCGGAUCUAGCGGCGGACGGGUGAGUAACGCGUGGGAAUAUGCCCUUCUCUACGGAAUAGCCUCGGGAAACUGGGAGUAAUACCGUAUACGCCCUUAGGGGGAAAGAUUUAUCGGAGAAGGAUUAGCCCGCGUUGGAUUAGGUAGUUGGUGGGGUAAUGGCCUACCAAGCCUACGAUCCAUAGCUGGUUUGAGAGGAUGAUCAGCCACACUGGGACUGAGACACGGCCCAGACUCCUACGGGAGGCAGCAGUGGGGAAUCUUAGACAAUGGGGGCAACCCUGAUCUAGCCAUGCCGCGUGAGUGAUGAAGGCCUUAGGGUUGUAAAGCUCUUUCAGCUGGGAAGAUAAUGACGGUACCAGCAGAAGAAGCCCCGGCUAACUCCGUGCCAGCAGCCGCCGUAAAAC
rnacentral:rRNA from 1 species